UGGGGAAUAUUGGACAAUGGGCGAAAGCCUGAUCCAGCCAGGCCGCGUGUGUGAAGAAGGUCUUCGGAUUGUAAAGCACUUUAAGUUGGGAGGAAGGGCAUUAACCUAAUACGUUAGUGUUUUGACGUUACCGACAGAAUAAGCACCGGCUAACUCUGUGCCAGCAGCCGCGGUAAUAAAGAGGGUGCAAGCGUUAAUCGGAAUUACUGGGCGUAAAGCGCGCGUAGGUGGUUUGUUAAGUUGGAUGUGAAAUCCCCGGGCUCAACCUGGGAACUGCAUUCAAAACUGACUGACUAGAGUAUGGUAGAGGGUGGUGGAAUUUCCUGUGUAGCGGUGAAAUGCGUAGAUAUAGGAAGGAACACCAGUGGCGAAGGCGACCACCUGGACUAAUACUGACACUGAGGUGCGAAAGCGUGGGGAGCAAACA
rnacentral:rRNA from 1 species